GAUGAAGAACGUAGCGAAAUGCGAUAAGUAAUGUGAAUUGCAGAAUUCAGUGAAUCAUCGAGUCUUUGAACGCACAUUGCGCCCCCUGGUAUUCCGGGGGGCAUGCCUGUCCGAGCGUCAUUGCCGCCCUCAAGCACGGCUUGUGUGUUGGGCCCCCGCCCCCCGGCUUCGGGGGGCGGGCCCGAAAGGCAGCGGCGGCACCGCGUCCGGUCCUCGAGCGUAUGGGGCUUCGUCACCCGCUCUAUAGGCCCGGCCGGCGCCCGCCGGCGACCCCAAUCAAUCUUUCCAGGUUGACCUCGGAUCAGGUAGGGAUACCCGCUGAACUUAAGCAUAUCAAUAAGCGGAGGA
rnacentral:misc_RNA from 1 species